AUCUAUGGCCAUGCCACCCUGAACACGCCCGAUCCCGUCUGAUCUCGGAAGCUAAGCAGGGUCGGGCCUGGUUAGUACUUGGAUGGGAGACCACCUAGGAAGACCAGGUGCUGUAGGCG
rnacentral:rRNA from 1 species